rnacentral:rRNA from 1 species
UACGUAGGGUGCAAGCGUUGUCCGGAAUUAUUGGGCGUAAAGAGCUCGUAGGUGGCCUGUCGCGUCGGCUGUGAAAACUCGGGGCUCAACUCCGAGCUUGCAGUCGAUACGGGCAGGCUAGAGUUCGGCAGGGGAGACUGGAAUUCCUGGUGUAGCGGUGAAAUGCGCAGAUAUCGGGAGGAACACCGGUGGCGAAGGCGGUUCUCUGGGCCUUACCUGACGCUGAGGAGCGAAAGCGUGGGGAGCGAACAGG